UACCGAGGGGGCAAGCGUUGUUCGGCAUUACUGGGCGUAAAGGGCGCGUAGGCGGCCUGUUAAGUCGAACGUGAAAUCCCCGGGCUCAACCCGGGAACUGCGUCCGAUACUGGCAGGCUUGAAUCCGGGAGAGGGAUGCGGAAUUCCAGGUGUAGCGGUGAAAUGCGUAGAUAUCUGGAGGAACACCGGUGGCGAAGGCGGCAUCCUGGACCGGCAUUGACGCUGAGGCGCGAAAGCCAGGGGAGCAAACGGG
rnacentral:rRNA from 1 species